UAGGGAAUCUUCGGCAAUGGGGGCAACCCUGACCGAGCAACGCCGCGUGAGUGAAGAAGGUUUUCGGAUCGUAAAGCUCUGUUGUAAGAGAAGAACGUGUGUGAGAGUGGAAAGUUCACACAGUGACGGUAACUUACCAGAAAGGGACGGCUAACUACGUGCCAGCAGCCGCGGUAAUACGUAGGUCCCGAGCGUUGUCCGGAUUUAUUGGGCGUAAAGCGAGCGCAGGCGGUUUAAUAAGUCUGAAGUUAAAGGCAGUGGCUUAACCAAUGUUCGCGUUGGAAACUGUUAAACUUGAGUGCAGAAGGGGAGAGUGGAAUUCCAUGUGUAGCGGUGGAAUGCGUAGAUAUAUGGAGGAACACCGGUGGCGAAAGCGGCUCUCUGGUCCGUAACUGACGCUGAGGCUCGAAAGCGUGGGGAGCAAACAGG
rnacentral:rRNA from 1 species